rnacentral:tRNA from 1 species
GCGGUGGUAGUUCAGUUGGUAGAAUGUCUCCUUCCCAAGGAGAAGGUCGCGAGUUCGAAUCUCGUCCACCGCU